AUGGUAAAAGGAAAUCAUUCCACGGUGACUGAAUUUAAUCUCGCUGGGCUAACAGACAAACCAGAGCUCCAGCUGCCUCUUUUCCUCCUCUUCCUGGGAAUCUAUGUGGUCACAGUGGUGGGCAACCUGAGCAUGAUCACUCUAAUAGGGUUCAGUUCUCACCUGCACACCCCCAUGUACCAUUUCCUCAGCAGUCUGUCCUUCAUUGAUCUCUGCCAGUCUUCUGUCAUUACCCCAAAAAUGCUGGUGAAUUUUGUGUCAGAGAGGAAUAUUAUCUCCUACCCAGCAUGCAUGACUCAGCUCUACUUCUUCCUUGUUCUUGUCAUAUCUGAAUGUCACAUGUUGGCUGCAAUGGCUUAUGACCACUACAUUGCCAUAUGUAACCCACUGCUUUACCAUGUCGCCAUGUCUUAUCAGGUCUGCUCCUGGAUGGUAGUUGAGGUGUAUUUUAUGGGCUUUAUUGGUGCUACGUGCUCACACAGUCUGCAUGCUAAGAGUGCUUUUCUGUAAGGCUGAUGUAAUCAACCAUUACUUCUGUGAUCUUUUCCCACUACUGGAGCUCUCCCGCUCCAGUAUUUCUAUCAAUGAAAUAGUAGUUUGUGCUUCAGUGCAUUUAAUAUCCUUUUCCGCAGCCUCACCAUCCUUAGCUCUUACAUCUUCAUCGUUGCCAGCAUCCUCUGCAUUCGCUCCACUGAGGGCAGGUCCAAAACCUUCAGCACUUGCAGCUCCCACAUCUCGGCUGUUUCUGUUUUCUUUGGGUCUGCAGCAUUCAUGUACCUGCAGCCAUCAUCCGUCAGCUCCAUGGACCAGGGGAGUGUCUUCUGUGUUUUAUGCUACUGUUGUGCCCAUGCUGAACCCCCAAUCUACAGCCUGAGGAAUAAAGAUGUCAAAGUUGCCUUAAUUAAGUUCCUUGAAAAAAGAAGUUUCCUG
rnacentral:lncRNA from 1 species